GUGAAUGAAUAGAUGGGGUUGAAAACCACUUUCUUUUUUGGGCAGUACUGGGGAUGGAACCCAGGGGUGAGUAAGAGCGNUUGGGGUCUUCAGAAGAUUGGGCAGUCUAGGUGGCAGGCCUUGAGUGCCAGAGGAGUUUUACUCCACAUCCUAACAGAGUUAUUAGGCACCAAGAUGUGUAGUAAAGGCAGUUUAUUCCAAGGGUAAGUGGAGAAAGAAAAUAGGAUUUGGAGACCAAGCCUAGGGACGAGAUGAGAGGGUGAGGUCAGAAGAAAUGGAGAGGGAGGGGGCGCAGUAAGGA
rnacentral:lncRNA from 1 species